AUGUCGGUCAGUGUUGUUCAGAGAGUCCUGAAUGAGUCAAAGCUUCUUCUAUUUCCUCUACACCUCCAUGAAGGCUUUCGGUUUCAUCAAGUUUCUUCUCCAGAAGGUCCAUCCAGGCAUUCUCCAACUCCAAAUAAGACAGCAGCUCACACCAGCAUGCCCACACCUCCUACAACAGCCAACAGAAACGGUCAUGUGGUAAGUCAAAUAUAUCACAUUGGGCCUGGGUCCUGAGAAUUUUGAUCAAAGGUUAGAAGAACCACAUUAGUGGUUUGAACCGAAAGAGUCUGGCGCUGGCAACAUCAAAGUCGUGGGUUUGAUUCCCAGCGAACACACACACACGGAUAAAGUGUAAAUCUAAAAAGGACUUUAAGUUGCUUUGGAUGAAAGCGUCUGCCAAAUGAAUAAAUGUCAAUAUACGAGACACUAUCUGACUCCUGAGAACAACCCCAUCACUGGCACAAUAACAAGCUCACCUCUAAAGUCUUGCAUUUUCCAUCGAGCCGGCUGCACAGUCGCUGGUAGUUAGAAGUCAAAACAUCCAGUUCUGCCUUUAGGGCAUCAUGGGCCGCAGGAGGAGCCUUUGAAAUGAAAUUGGUGACUUUAUCCGUCAGUAGCUUCACCUUUGUUUCCUUUUGAUGGACUUCCUCUUGAGCCCGCUGAGUGGGAGAGAGGAGGGGAGAUUAUGUGAGCAUUCAGAUGUUUUCACCAAGGUUAGUGAACAUCAGGAUUCUCUUAAGCCUCUGUUUGCAAAGUUAAGCUAAGUUUGGCACUGGGACAGAGAGAAUACAAGAUCCCCGCUGUUGAGUGUUGAACUUGGCAAGUUAAACAAAAAUGUGCCCCAUUUACUUCAUGAAAAGCACAAAGCAACAGGAUCACAUAGAGGUGAAAACUUUUGUGCACCGAGACGGAACCUGUUAGGAAAUGAAUAUAUUUCAAUUGUCUAGGUGUCAGUCUUCUGCCAUCAUAACAACUGUCUGGGGAGCUUCUCAGACACUUUGUUCUCAGUUCAACAUUUUCGUUUUUCUUUUCUUUAAAGUCUGGUGUCUCGGCACUUUCAAUGAAUGGGCUACAGAUUGGUGUCCCCUGACUGUUGUUAAAAGCAAUGAAGACACAAAUCCCAUGUUCUCUAGUGAGAUUAG
rnacentral:lncRNA from 1 species